rnacentral:sRNA from 1 species
CCAUGAAGUUAAUGCUUUGUUAAUUUGAGUGUGUGGUGAAUCCCCCUAUGCGGAGGGGCGGAAACAGCAUUGUAUUUGAAUCCUCAAGAUUCACUCGUACCGCAAGUCAUGGUGGCUGACCAACGACUUACCGGGAGGCACCCGGCACCACACCCCCUUAUCUUAGCCCACGUUAACGCGUGGGCUUUUUUA